rnacentral:rRNA from 1 species
GACGAACGCUGGCGGCGUGCUUAACACAUGCAAGUCGAGCGGUAAGGCCCUUUCGGGGGGUACACGAGCGGCGAACGGGUGAGUAACACGUGGGUGACCUGCCCUCAGCUCUGGGAUAAGCCUGGGAAACCGGGUCUAAUACUGGAUAUGACUCCAUGACGCAUGUUGUGGGGUGGAAAGCCUUGUGCGGCUGAGGAUGGGCCCGCGGCCUAUCAGCUUGUUGGUGGGGUGANGGCCUACCAAGGCGACGACGGGUAGCCGGCCUGAGAGGGCGACCGGCCACACUGGGACUGAGACACGGCCCAGACUCCUACGGGAGGCAGCAGGUGGGGAAUCUUGCGCAAUGGGCGAAAGCCUGACGCAGCGACGCCGCGUGAGGGAUGACGGCC